AAGCCCAGGAGCACGAGCUUGCGCGUGCUCGCCACAGUCCAGCCCCUUCUUCCUCUUCUCUCUAGUGGUAGGUGGCGUUGCUGCGGCUUGUCCACCUCUUCCCUCCCUCUCUUCCUCCUCUGGCUCCACCCCUCCUCCCCCUUCCCGCCUUCUCUCUCUUUCCCGCUACGGUUCCUAACCCGGGUGUGAGGUUAUUGAACGAGUCUAGAAGCGAUUCGGCCCCGCCGGGACAUGGCACCAUCCCCGGUGGAGGUGUUUGAACUUCCGGAGGAUGAGGAAAGAUUGAAGGAAAAAGGAGAAGGACACAACAGGAUAAGAGAUGGGUAAUGUUAUGGAAGCAGCUGACAUGAGCUUGGACAGACUUUGGUAGAUAGCGGAAGACAGAAGGUCAAUGGAGUCACAAAGAGUUGGACAUGAAUUAAUAAUAAAAUUUGAUUUCUUCUCAUA